UGUUCUGCUUAUGCUCAACUUUGGUCAUUGACUCAUUGUUCGAAAACGCUCUGCUGUCUCGUUGUUUCCUGUGAUUGGAUAAAGUUAGUUCAUUUUUAAUGAACAUUACAGCCAGUGAUUAGUCCUGGUGAAGUCCAUGCUUCUUCAUUGCAGUCCAAUGUGCAUAUGAAUUUGUUACGACCAACUGGCGAAAGGUGUUCCUCUUGCAGGCUCACUACCUGUACCGAGUGUACUGGUUGUAUCUUUUGUCACAUGCAGAAACACUAAAGAACACUUUAAAGAUUAACAGCCGAGUCUGGUGAAUCUGAGCUUCUUUGUUGCAUACCAGUCUGUUCAUGGAUUUAUUGCAGCCAGCUGUGUGAAAGGUAACUUUCUAACUGUACUGUCUGUGAAUUGUGUCACAUUCAUUAACUCUUCAGAACUGCUAGGACCUGUCACAUCCCAAGUCCUCAUAGAACU
rnacentral:lncRNA from 1 species